rnacentral:lncRNA from 1 species
UUUUUUUUUUUGAAGAAGUUAAAAUGAAAUAUAUUACCACAACAGCCUCCUCAGCACAAGACGUACCAAGAUAGGCUACAAAAGUUUACAAAGAAUCCUAGAACAAAAGCAAAAACAAAUCAUACAAAGCCCAAACAAAGCACAGGACUAGACCACCAGCUAUGGUAGUUAUAAGCUAACGUAACACUCGUCGACUUCAACCACCUAAAAGAGAAAAGCUUGAUCUUGUCCAACAAAAUAUAGGGUGUGUCUUCUGAUCCUGUGAACAAUCGAUGGUUUCUCUCCGUCCAUACAACCCAAACACAAACAAGCCAAAUGAGCUGUAAAAAUGAUCGACGCGCGCGAGAGCCACCUGCUGAAGAUGCAAACUGAACAAAAUGGUCAUGCAGAUUAGUGAACUCCACCAAAGGAAUACCAAUCCACGAACGCACUAAAUCCCAAAGAGAACCAACAGUACUGCAAGAGAUAAAUAAGUGAUGGGCUGACUCAGCCUCUCCACAUCCAAAAAUGCAAGAGUGAGCUGUAG